GACGAACGCUGGCGGCAUGCCUAAUACAUGCAAGUCGAGCGAACAGAUGAAGUGCUUGCACUUCUGACGUUAGCGGCGAACGGGUGAGUAACACGUAAGGAAUCUACCUAUAAGCGGGGGAUAACAUUCGGAAACGGGUGCUAAUACCGCAUAAUAUCUUCUUCCGCAUGGAAGAAGACUGAAAGACGGCUCUGCUGUCACUUAUAGAUGACCUUGCGGUGCAUUAGUUAGUUGGUGGGGUAACGGCCUACCAAGACGAUGAUGCAUGGCCGACCUGAGAGGGUGAUCGGCCACAUUGGGACUGAGACACGGCCUAAACUCCUACGGGAGGCAGCAGUAGGGAAUCUUCCGCAAUGGGCGAAAGCCUGACGGAGCAAUGCCGCGUGAGUGAAGAAGGCCUUCGGGUCGUAAAACUCUGUUAUAAGAGAAGAACAAAUUGUAGAGUAACUGCUACAGUCUUGACGGUAUCUUAUCAGAAAGCCACGGCUAACUACGUGCCAGCCGCCGCAGUAA
rnacentral:rRNA from 1 species